GUUCCUACGGGAGGCAGCAGUAGGGAAUCUUCCACAAUGGGCGAAAGCCUGAUGGAGCAACGCCGCGUGGGUGAAGAAGGUCUUCGGAUCGUAAAACCCUGUUGUUAGAGCAGCAAGUGCGUGAGAGUAACUGUUCACGUUUCGACGGUAUCUAACCAGACAGCCACGGCUAACUACGUGCCAGCAGCCGCGAUAAUCCGUAGGUGGCAAGCGUUAUCCGGCUUUAUUGGGCGUACCGGGACCGCCGGCGGUCUUUUACGUCUGAUGUG
rnacentral:rRNA from 1 species